rnacentral:rRNA from 1 species
UACGUAGGGUGCAAGCGUUGUCCGGAUUUAUUGGGUUUAAAGGGUGCGUAGGCGGCCCUGUAAGUCAGUGGUGAAAUACUCCAGCUUAACUGGAGGGGUGCCAUUGAUACUGCAGGGCUUGAGUUAAGUUGAAGUUGGCGGAAUUGACGGUGUAGCGGUGAAAUGCUUAGAUAUCGUCAAGAACACCGAUAGUGAAGACAGCUAACUAAACUUUUACUGGCGCUGAGGCACGAAAGUGUGGGGAUCAAACAGG